GACGAACGCUGGCGGCGUGCCUAAUACAUGCAAGUAGAACGCACAGUUUAUACCGUAGCUUGCUACACCAUAGACUGUGAGUUGCGAACGGGUGAGUAACGCGUAGGUAACCUGCCUGGUAGCGGGGGAUAACUAUUGGAAACGAUAGCUAAUACCGCAUAAUAUUAAUUAUUGCAUGAUAAUUAAUUGAAAGGUGCAAUUGCACCACUACCAGAUGGACCUGCGUUGUAUUAGCUAGUUGGUGGGGUAACGGCUCACCAAGGCGACGAUACAUAGCCGACCUGAGAGGGUGAUCGGCCACACUGGGACUGAGACACGGCCCAGACUCCUACGGGAGGCAGCAGUAGGGAAUCUUCGGCAAUGGACGGAAGUCUGACCGAGCAACGCCGCGUGAGUGAAGAAGGUUUUCGGAUCGUAAAGCUCUGUUGUAAGAGAAGAAACGAGUGUGAGAAGUGGAAAG
rnacentral:rRNA from 1 species